GACGAACGCUGGCGGCGUGCUUAACACAUGCAAGUCGAACGGAAAGGCCCUGCUUUUGUGGGGUGCUCGAGUGGCGAAGGGGUGAGAAACAUGAGAGUAACCUGCCCUGGACUUGGGGAUAACUUCAGGAAACUGGGGCUAAUACCGGCUAGGUGCUCCUGCUGCAGGGGGGGGGUCGGAAAGUUUCGGCGGUUGGGGAUGGACUCGCGGCUAAUCAGCUGGUUGGUGGGGUGGCGGCUAACCGGGCGUUCGACGGGUAGCCGGCCUGGGAGGGUGGCCGGGGACCAUGGGACUGCGGUACGGCCCAGACUCGUACGGGAGACAGCAGUGGGGAGUAUUGUACAGUCGUCGGAAGCCUGAUGCAACAACGCCGCGUGCGGGAUGACGGCCUUCGGGUUGUAAACCGCUUUCGGUUGUGACGAUGCGUGAGUGACGGUACUGGGUAAAGAAGCACCGGCUAACUACGUG
rnacentral:rRNA from 1 species